AGCGAACGCUGGCGGCAGGCCUAACACAUGCAAGUCGAACGAACUCUUCGGAGUUAGUGGCGGACGGGUGAGUAACACGUGGGAACGUGCCUUUAGGUUCGGAAUAACUCAGGGAAACUUGUGCUAAUACCGAAUGUGCCCUUCGGGGGAAAGAUUUAUCGCCUUUAGAGCGGCCCGCGUCUGAUUAGCUAGUUGGGGAGGUAAAGGCUCACCAAGGCGACGAUCAGUAGCUGGUCUGAGAGGAUGAUCAGCCACAUUGGGACUGGGACACGGCCCAAACUCCUACGGGAGGCAGCAGUGGGGAAUCUUGCGCAAUGGGCGAAAGCCUGACGCAGCCAUGGCGCGUGAAUGAUGAAGUUCUUAGGAUUGUAAAAUUCUUUCACCGGGGACGAUAAUGACGGUACCCGGAGAAGAAGCCCCGGCUAACUUCGUGCCAGCCGCCGCUGUAA
rnacentral:rRNA from 1 species